GUGGAAGGGCAGUGUAAGAGACUACCGCCUUUCUGGUAACAGGAGGGGCAUAUGUAAACCCCAUUCGAAGCAAGACCGAACAAAAGCGUUGACGUGGCCCGCCAGCUUUAGGUAGGUCGCUUGAAAUGGCUGGCAACAGUCAUUCUAGAAAGAUGAUCAUUCGUGUCUGCAUUUGCAGACGGACAUAACCCGGCUUAUCGUCCUGCUUAUUUU
rnacentral:RNase_P_RNA from 1 species